rnacentral:rRNA from 1 species
AUUGAACGCUGGCGGUAUGCUUAACACAUGCAAGUCGAACGGCAGCAUGGUCUAGCUUGCUAGACUGAUGGCGAGUGGCGGACGGGUGAGUAACGCGUAGGAAUAUGCCUUGAAGAGUGGGACAACUUGGGGAAUCUCAAGCUAAUACCGCAUGUACUCGAGAGAGUAAAGCUGGGGACCUUUAGGCCUGGCGCUUUAAGAUUAGCCUGCGUCCGAUUAGCUAGUUGGUAGGGUAAAGGCCUACCAAGGCGACGAUCGGUAGCUGGUCUGAGAGGAUGAUCAGCCACACUGGAACUGAGAGACGGUCCAGACUCCUACGGGAGGCAGCAGUGGGGAAUAUUGGACAAUGGGGGGAACCCUGAUCCAGCAAUGCCGCGUGUGUGAGGAAGGCCUGAGGGUUGUAAAGCACUUUCAGUGGGGAGGAGGUUUGGAAGGUUAAGAGCUAUUCAAAUGGACGUUACCCACAGAAGAAGCACCGGCUAACUCCGUGCCAGCAGCCGCCGCCG